rnacentral:snRNA from 1 species
CUAAUUACCUGACGGGGGAAAUACUACGAUCACGGAAGUGUUUCUCCAGGGCGAGGUCGACUCAUUGCACUGCGGCCGCCCGUGCUGACCUCUGCGAUUUCUUUUCCGCUAACGGCCGCCCGUGCUGACCUCUGCGAUUUCUUUUCGGCAAACUGCGGGAAACUCGACUGCCUAAUUUGUGCUGGUGGGGGACAGCGUUCGUGCUCUCCCCUG